ACGCUCGACACCUACGGGACGCAGCAGUAGGGAAUCUUCCACAAUGGGCGCAAGCCUGAUGGAGCAACACCGCGUGAGUGAAGAAGGGUUUCGGCUCGUAAAGCUCUGUUGUUGGAGAAGAACGUGCGUGAGAGUAACUGUUCACGCAGUGACGGUAUCCAACCAGAAAGUCACGGCUAACUACGUGCCAGCAGCCGCGGUAAUCUGAGCGGGCUGGCAAGGC
rnacentral:rRNA from 1 species